CCUGGCUCAGGAUGAACGCUAGCUACAGGCUUAACACAUGCAAGUCGAGGGGCAGCAUGGUCUUAGCUUGCUAAGGCCGAUGGCGACCGGCGCACGGGUGAGUAACACGUAUCCAACCUGCCGUCUACUCUUGGACAGCCUUCUGAAAGGAAGAUUAAUACAAGAUGGCAUCAUGAGUCCGCAUGUUCACAUGAUUAAAGGUAUUCCGGUAGACGAUGGGGAUGCGUUCCAUUAGAUAGUAGGCGGGGUAACGGCCCACCUAGUCUUCGAUGGAUAGGGGUUCUGAGAGGAAGGUCCCCCACAUUGGAACUGAGACACGGUCCAAACUCCUACGGGAGGCAGCAGUGAGGAAUAUUGGUCAAUGGGCGAGAGCCUGAACCAGCCAAGUAGCGUGAAGGAUGACUGCCCUAUGGGUUGUAAACUUCUUUUAUAAAGGAAUAAAGUCGGGUAUGGAUACCCGUUUGCAUGUACUUUAUGAAUAAGGAUCGGCUAACUCCGUGCCAGCAGCCGCGGUAAUACGGAGGAUCCGAGCGUUAUCCGGAUUUAUUGGGUUUAAAGGGAGCGUAGAUGGAUGUUUAAGUCAGUUGUGAAAGUUUGCGGCUCAACCGUAAAAUUGCAGUUGAUACUGGAUAUCUUGAGUGCAGUUGAGGCAGGCGGAAUUCGUGGUGUAGCGGUGAAAUGCUUAGAUAUCACGAAGAACUCCGAUUGCGAAGGCAGCCUGCUAAGCUGCAACUGACAUUGAGGCUCGAAAGUGUGGGUAUCAAACAGGAUUAGAUACCCUGGUAGUCCACACGGUAAACGAUGAAUACUCGCUGUUUGCGAUAUACGGCAAGCGGCCAAGCGAAAGCGUUAAGUAUUCCACCUGGGGAGUACGCCGGCAACGGUGAAACUCAAAGGAAUUGACGGGGGCCCGCACAAGCGGAGGAACAUGUGGUUUAAUUCGAUGAUACGCGAGGAACCUUACCCGGGCUUAAAUUGCAGAUGAAUUACGGUGAAAGCCGUAAGCCGCAAGGCAUCUGUGAAGGUGCUGCAUGGUUGUCGUCAGCUCGUGCCGUGAGGUGUCGGCUUAAGUGCCAUAACGAGCGCAACCCUUGUUGUCAGUUACUAACAGGUUCCGCUGAGGACUCUGACAAGACUGCCAUCGUAAGAUGUGAGGAAGGUGGGGAUGACGUCAAAUCAGCACGGCCCUUACGUCCGGGGCUACACACGUGUUACAAUGGGGGGUACAGAGGGCCGCUACCACGCGAGUGGAUGCCAAUCCCCAAAACCUCUCUCAGUUCGGACUGGAGUCUGCAACCCGACUCCACGAAGCUGGAUUCGCUAGUAAUCGCGCAUCAGCCACGGCGCGGUGAAUACGUUCCCGGGCCUUGCACACAACGGCCG
rnacentral:rRNA from 1 species